AAGUGCAGGGAUGUUUCAAUAGUAAAUUUGCUAAAGCGAUGAAUUUCCUGUAAUGUUGAAUUGUUUGGAAAUCGUUUGUUUUCGUAAUUGUAAAAGCUCGUUAAAACGCACCGAGAAUAAACAAAGUGUAUUGAAUUCACAGACGUAUACAAAUUUCCGUUAUAAGUACGCAGUUAAUUAGAAAAAAAAAGUAUUUUUUGUGAAAAUUCAAGUUGAAUUGUGGUUUCAGUAUAAAUGGAUUAACAGCGGAGCGUCGAUAUGGACCUGGUGGAUAUAGAUCAGGUGUUAGAUAAUUUGGAAUUACGUGAAGCUGCAGAUGAAAAAAAUGCAGUUCUAGAACAACAAACACAAGUGCAAAAUGACUGUGCAUCGAAUGCUGAUGAAAUUUCAAUAGAUCGGGUAGGCGCUGGAAGUAGCAGUUGUAACAAAAGUUUUGUAGGUGUUUCACAUGUCUUUAACAGUUUGGAUGAUUAUCAAAAAAAUGUUGAAUCAUUAGAAAAUGCAACAUUACAAAAGUACGACGAGGAAUGUAGGCCAAUUACGUCUGGCGUCAGUAUAGAGGAGGCGCCAUUAGAACAAAUCAAAUCAAAGGAACAACAAUCAAAAGAUAAAACAGACAAUAAUAAACCAAAUCCAAAUACACUAUCAAACAAUGAGGUUGUGACUAUAAGCAGAAGUGUGGAACAAAUUGAUACUCAAGUUACGGAAUAUGACAUUGAGGAUGAAGAUGAAGAUGAGGACGAAGCUUGUAAUGAUAUACAUAGAUACACUGAAAAUAUUGCUGGUAAACAACUAUUAAAUGGUGAAACUGGAGCUGAUAUCACAAAUUCCAUAAGUUCUGAUUCUUUAACAACAUCAUCGUCGUCAACAUUUUCAUCAGGUCCUUCACCUGGAUCUGUUGACUCAAAUAGUCCGGAUAAUGAUCCAAGUGCAUUACUGAUGCAAAACAAUGAUAAUACCGAAAAUCAAGAACAGCUCAUUGAAGAUAAUUCAUUAAGAGAAGAUGAAGGAAAUGUUGAAGAUUUAGCUGUAGGACUUUCUUCAAUUUCAAUUACAACAGCCAAUUCUCAAUUGUUGUUACCUUGCGAAGGUACUGUUUCAUCUGAGUUGGGGAAUGUGCUUGAGGAGCUGUCUGAGACGACCACAUCUUCAGUUUUAAGUCAAUUGCAUGAAGAUGUUGAUAAAGCAAAAAAUAUAGGUGUACAAUCUUACCCACAAGCUCAGGAAAACCUACUACCUGAAGAAAUUGUUAACCAAUCAGUUAAUGUGAUAAAUCCAAUUAAUGUAGAAGGAACAAUGAAUAUCGUAGAUCAAAAAGUUGUAAAUAUAAGUGAUGUACAAAAACCAAUAACAUUCAAUUCCACUAUGGAUGAGAUAUCUGAUACAGAAUUAGAUAGUAUGCUACAAGAGAUGGACAUAGAUGACGAGGAAGCGGAUAGUGUAAAAAAGAAAGAUUUAGAUUUUAAAACACAGCCGACAGAACCAAUUCAUUCCGAAAAACCUGAUAUUGUAGCAGAUACUAUUCAAGAUUUAGGGAAUAAUGCUGCGGAUCAACCCAAUGCUGAUAGUUUUUCUCAAGCAUCGACAGUAGAGUUUUCUGAAAUUAAAGCGCAAGCCACCACAACAGCAGCUACCGUUGUAACCGAAGAUUGUAUACAAAAUUCAAUCUCAUCGAAUUCUGAUACUUCUUCUAUAGACGAUUCAGAGGAAUUUGCACAGGAGCAGACAGGUGCGCGUCCACGACCAACAACGCUUGAUCUUCCAGUAUCACAUACUAAUUUGUAUGCAAAUGCUGGUCAAACACCUCCUGGCGUAAGCCGGAAACAAACAGAAGCACCGCAAAAUACUGAACAAGAAAAUGGUAGUGAUUUGCCAAACGAUGCAACAACAGUAACACAAAAUAUUGAAGCAUCAGACAAUGAGGGAUUAGCUGAAGCAACUGGUUACAGCGAUCCGCAUGCUAAUCUCGGAAAGGUUCCUCCGAUUUGGGUGCCUGAUAACAUGGCAAGCAAUUGUAUGCAGUGUCAUACAAAGUUUACAAUGAUAAAACGUCGACAUCAUUGUCGCGCUUGCGGUAAAGUUUUAUGUUCGGUUUGCUGUUCACAGAAGUUUAAAUUAGAUUUCUUAACACAUCCGGAAUCAAGAGUGUGCGUACAAUGUUAUCUUAUACUUACACAACGUCAGAAUAUUGAACCGACUGCGCCUAGCUUGGCAGCGGACUGCGAAGAUGUUGUUAAUCAAUCUAAUCAGGUACUUACACCUUCGCGGUCACCAAAUCCAAAUAAUCCAAUGGAGUAUUGUUCCACUAUACCACCUUCAAUGCAAGUAAGUGCAACAUCAACACAACCUCCUACUGUGAUUGUUCCUGUCGGUGUACUCAAGAAAGAUGGCAGUUACUCUUCAAAUUCAUCACAAUCAAGCAACAAAAAGGGUAGAAAAAGAAAAAGUGUUAUGUUUAGUGAUGGUAUUGCACCUGGUAGUGAUUUAGCAAACAUGGAACAUCAGUGGGGUGAAGCAAAGCAAGCGAAAAGAAAUAGUCAAGAUAAAUCUCGUCGUACUAAUAAUAAACCUCCAACACCUGCGGAUUCAGCACCGACUACAGACAUAACAGCGAUGAGUAUGAUGGCACAACUAUUUCGCGGUGGUAUUCCACCCUCAGCAGCAGCAGCUACUGCUUCUGUGCUUGAGCGUAGUGCUAAUAUGACAAAAAAAUUAAAUGAAGCUGAAAGCAAAGAAAAAAAAUCGGUUGCUAAGAGUAAAAAUGAAUUUGAUUCAUUUCGUCCAAAGCGACAAUUGCCCUUAAAUUCUGAAGAUAAUUGCUUAAUACCAAAAGGUGAUAAUAAUCUCUUACCACCUAUUGUUAUUAGUAAAGAAGAGAGUAAUUGCAAUAUUAAGCAUCAAGAGGUGGAUAAUAACUAUGAUCUCAUAGAACGUUUGCAAAAUGAGACUCUUAAAUUUGCAGUGCAAAAGAACUUUUUUGUUUAUGUAAAGAUUGUUAAUUUGAAAUGCUGCAUGAAUCGGAUUGUAAUAAAUUUUACCACCUGUGGUAUGCAUCAUGUGGGAAAUGAUGAAAUAAUUAUUCUACUUGAAUUUGAAAUACCUCCAAAUAAGGAAGAGAUGUCACAACCACCGAUUCCUAAAGAUAUUUUUGUACAUUUAAAUGAAAUAUAUAAUGAUGCAGAACAAGGAAAUCCAAUUGCUGAACUGUCAUAUACCAGUCCCAGGCAAACAAACUUCCUGGGUUCACGCGAAUAUGGAGGAUUUUUGUAUAUACGCACGAACUUUCAAUGUCUGCAAGAUGUGAUAAUGCCAGAAAAUCCAUUCUUAAUAGGUAUACUAAUACAUCGCUAUGAAGUACCUUGGGCUAAAGUAUUUCCAUUACGGCUAAUGCUACGACUGGGUGCACAAUAUAGAUAUUACCCAUGUCCACAUAUUUCCAUGAUAAAUCGUGAGUCAGUAUAUGGUGAAAUAGCGCAAACAAUUAUUAAUUUUUUGGCCGACUUUCGUAAUUACUCUUAUACGUUACCACAAAUUAGAGGUCUAUAUAUACAUAUGGAGGAUCGACAGACUACGGUUCUAAUUCCUAAAAAUCGUCAAGAAGAUGUUCUGAAAGCAAUUAAUAAUUCAAGUGAUCAUAUUUUAGCUUUCGGUGGAAAUUUUUCAAAAAGCGCUGAUGGACAUUUGGUGUGCAUGCAAAAUGUGAAUGACAAUAGCACAGAAAUGUAUUCAUAUUCAACUCAAGCUAUCAACAUACAAGGACAACCACGUAAAGUUACUGGAGCAAGUUUCUUUGUUCUAAAUGAAGCACUUAAAAGUACAAGUGGAUUAACCGGUAAAUGUAGUAUAGUAGAAGAUGGCUUAAUGGUACAAAUAUUAUCAUCGAAAAUGGAAGAAGUACGAACAGCUUUAAGAAAUCAUACAGAUAUUGAUAUUGUAUGUGGACCUGUUGACGCUGAUGAGAAAAACACAGAAGUUGUUAGUAUCAAAUGGGUUGAUAACGAUCGCGAUUUUAAUCUUAACGUAAAAUCACCUAUAGAUGAAAUGUCUAUGGAAGGAACAUCGAGUAUGCGGGUUCAUGCCAGUUUCAACUAUUCAAACACGAAUUAUUUAAUACGUCUAACAGAUAUCUACAUUAUAAAGUACGAUGAGUGGUAUAAUUCCACUUCAUCACAGUUAAGCGCUACUUCAACAGACAUUACUAGAAUUGCCGAACAAAUUGCAAGGAGCACUUCGAUGGCUUUAGUACCCUUUUUGGAUUUACUUGCUGCAAGUGGAAGUACAAAGAUUGGUUUGCGUACAACUUUGCAUCAGGAUAAUGUUUGCUAUGAAGCUGGUACACGUGGUAGUAAAUUACCGCCUUUGUAUAUGAACGCUUUGGACAACCAUUUGAUUGCCACACUACAUAGUGAAUCAUCUGGCAUUGAAGAUGCAAUUGUAUUAGAAUUAAUAUUUUAUAUAUUAAAUGUUUAGUUUUCUGCAAUAAGAAGAAGCAUGUUAACAUUCUGCAAUAAGAAGAAGCAUGUUUAAAAAUUUCGUUAAAUGAAUACAGAAUGAAGUGCAAUCACAGGAGGCCAACAAAUGGCGUUCAUUUAAGAACGUAAAAUAUAUUUAAUGCUGUGUGCUUGAUGGUGAUUCCUUGAAGCUACGCAAAAACACAGCCAGUUGACAGUAUGCGAGUGGAAAAGCAACUGAAUGGAAUCAGUUUUCCGCAAGUGUGAACAGGAAGGACCCUUGUCAACAUGUUGCUAAGAGCAGAACUGACACCGCCCAUAUCAGCCACAAAUCCUGCGCACUCUGUGCUUAAGGGAUUCAUAAUAUAUUUAUGGAAAACCUUUUUGACCAAUAAUUGAAAAAUUAAUAUCUCAAGUAAAUUGCAUUGAAUAAAUUCUAUGCUUUGUGUAUAUCGACAUUAUACGAGUACGAAAAUGCAGGUGCGAUUAAAGAGCGCUUUUAAAUUAUUCCAUAUUC